GGCUUCCUACGGGACGCAGCAGUGGGGAAUAUUGCACAAUGGGGGAAACCCUGAUGCAGCAACGCCGCGUGAGUGAAGAAGUCAUUCGGUAUGUAAAGCCCUAUCGGCAGGGAAGAAUUUAGACGGUACCUGACUAAGAAGCCCCGGCUAACUACGUGCCAGCAGCCGCGGUAAUACGUAGGGGGCAAGCGUUAUCCGGAUUCACUGGGUGUAAAGGGAGCGUAGACGGCCAUGCAAGCCUGGAGUGAAAGCCCGGGGCCCAACCCCGGGACUGCUCUGGGAACUG
rnacentral:rRNA from 1 species